GACGAACGCUGGCGGCGUGCUUAACACAUGCAAGUCGAACGGAAAGGCCCGGCUUUUGUUGCUUUCUCGUUUGGCGAACAGGUGUGUAUCACAUGAGUAUCCUGUCCUUGUCUUUGUGAUAACUUUUGGAAACUCGGGCUAAUAUCCCAGAUGAUCUCCUGCAGCGCGUUGUUGAUUAGUAAGAUUCGGCGUUUGUGGAUGGAAUGGCGGCUUAUCAGCUUCUUUGUGUGGUAGUGGCUUUCCAAGGUUUUGACGGGUAGCCGGCUUGGGAGGGUGACCGGCCUCAUUGGGACUGAGAUACGGACCAGAAUGCAACCGGAGGCAACAGUGGGGAAUAUUGCACAAUGGGCGGAAGCCUGAUGCAGAAAUGCCGCGUGCGGAAUGCUGGGCUUCGGGUUGUAAACCGAUUUGGCCUGUGCCGAAGAGUGAGUGACGGUAAUGGGUAAAGAAGCCACGGCUAACUACGUG
rnacentral:rRNA from 1 species